rnacentral:rRNA from 1 species
GACGAACGCUGGCGGCGUGCCUAAUACAUGCAAGUUGAGCGAUGAAGAUUGGUGCUUGCACCAAUUUGAAGAGCAGCGAACGGGUGAGUAACGCGUGGGGAAUCUGCCUUUGAGCGGGGGACAACCUUUGGAAACGAAUGCUAAUACCGCAUAAUAACUUUAAACAUAAGUUUUAAGUUUGAAAGAUUCAAUUGCAUCACUCAAAGAUGAUCCCGCGUUGUAUUAGCUAGUUGGUGAGGUAAAGGCUCACCAAGGCGAUGAUACAUAGCCGACCUGAGAGGGUGAUCGGCCACAUUGGGACUGAGACACGGCCCAAACUCCUACGGGAGGCAGCAGUAGGGAAUCUUCGGCAAUGGACGAAAGUCUGACCGAGCAACGCCGCGUGAGUGAAGAAGGUUUUCGGAUCGUAAAACUCUGUUGGUAGAGAAGAACGUUGGUGAGAGUGGAAAGCUCAUCAAGUGACGGUAACUACCCAGAAAGGGACGGCUAACUACGUG